GACGAACGCUGGCGGCGUGCCUAACACAUGCAAGUCGAACGGAAAGGCCCUGCGUUUGUGGUGUGCUCGAGUGGCGAACGGGUGAGUAACACGUGAGUAACCUGCCCUUGAUUUUGGGAUAACAUCAGGAAACUAGGGCUAAUACCGGAUAGGAUCCCCUGCUCCAUGGUGGGGGUUGGAACGUUUCGGCGGUCGGGGCUGGACGCGCGGCUUAUCAGCUUGUUGGUUGGGUAGUGGCAUACCAAGGCUGGGACGGGUAGGCGGCCUGGGAGGGUGACCGGCCACAUUAGUACUGAGAUACGGACCAGACUCGAAUGGGAGGCAGCGGUGGGGAAUAUUACACAGUGGGAGGGAGCCUGAUGCGACGGCGCCGCGGGCGGGAUGACGGCCUGCGGGUUGUAAACCGCAUUCGCCUGUGACGAAGCGUUAGUGACGGUAACGGAUAAAGAAGCACCGGCUAACUACGUG
rnacentral:rRNA from 1 species